GAGGAGGCUCAGGGGAGACCUCCUCACUCUCUGCAACUCCCUGACAGGAGGGGGGAGCCAGGGGGGGUUGGUCUCUUUUCCCAGGCAACUCUCAGCAAGACAAGAGGGCUGGGUCUUCAGCUGUGCCAGGGGAGGGUUAGGUUGGAUAUUAGAAAGAAUUUCUUUCCAGAGAGGGUAAUCAGAUGUUGGAAUGGGCUGCCCAGGGAAGUGGUGGAUUCUCCAUCCCUGGAGGUUUUUAAGGUGAGACUGGAUGUGGCAUCAGUGCCAUGGGCUGGGAACCAUGGUGGGGUUGGAUCAAGGAUUGGACUUGAUGAUUUUGGAGGUCCCUUCCAACUCAGCUGAUUCUAUGAUUCUAUGAUUCUAUGAUUCUUUCAGACCGUGUGUAAGACUUUUGUGUGUGGCCAGUGUGUCGCAUCCCACAACCCUGCAGAGAGAUAUUUAAGCAUUUCCCUGUCAGCCUCACACACAAGAGGUGAAGGCAACAGUGACUUAUAUUGGACAUCGUGAAGUUACGGUAGAGGAAUUUCACGUGCAAAGAAAGGAGUGAAAAACAGGCAGAGCAGAGAGAAAACAUAUGAAGGUUUUUAGGUAAGAAAAUACUUUUCUAAAACAACAAAACUGCAGGUUUUAAAAUGUUUGAUACUCCUUACAGAAAAAAAAAAUCUGUCAGUUUUCUUUAGUAAAUUCUCGUAUGUUGUACCUUCACACUUCUUUUUCUCAUAGUUACUUACAAACAGGGAAGCAAAUCAUUUUUCCCGUAAUACUUAUGUUGUCCAUAGACAGUGGCUUACUUCCCUUCCACACAUACGUUCCAAAACUAUAGUUUCAAUCAAAUUUCACUAACUUCGUGCCAUGAUUGAAUAAGUUUUUUGUGAAUUCAUAAUUCACAUAUCUUUACAUUUGCAUUGCAGAGUUUUUUUAAGUGCACACCUUUAGGAGUGCACCAGUCUGAAACUAGAUUAGGAUUUUCAGCAGUGUUGCUCUCUUUGGCCUCUUCAGAGCUCCACACUCCCUUGCAUGAUGAAGGAUGUAGGACAUCCAAGAGAGUUUUCAGAGUGAGCAGAAUCUGCUCGUGGUGUCC